UUGAGCCGUAUGUUUUGAGAGGAACAAGUACGGUUCUUAGGGGAGAAGGGAGCCGAGAGGCUCCUGACUUACUCGAC
rfam:Desulfosporosinus sp. I2 contig00049, whole genome shotgun sequence.